GCGAGCGUUGUCCGGAUUUAUUGGGCGUAAAGGGCUCGUAGGUGGUUGAUCGCGUCGGAAGUGUAAUCUUGGGGCUUAACCCUGAGCGUGCUUUCGAUACGGGUUGACUUGAGGAAGGUAGGGGAGAAUGGAAUUCCUGGUGGAGCGGUGGAAUGCGCAGAUAUCAGGAGGAACACCAGUGGCGAAGGCGGUUCUCUGGGCCUUUCCUGACGCUGAGGAGCGAAAGCGUGGGGAGCGAACAGGCUUAGAUACCCUGGUAGUCCACGCUGUAAACGGUGGGUACUAGGUGUGGGGUCCAUUCCACGGGUUCCGUGCCGUAGCUAACGCUUUAAGUACCCCGCCUGGGGAGUACGGCCGCAAGGCUAAAACUCAAAGGAAUUGACGGGGCCCCGCACAAGCGGCGGAGCAUGCGGAUUAAUUCGAUGCAACGCGUAGAACCUUACCUGGGUUUGACAUGGAUCGGGAGUGCUCAGAGAUGGGUGUGCCUCUUUUGGGGUCGGUUCACAGGUGGUGCAUGGCUGUCGUCAGCUCGUGUCGUGAGAUGUUGGGUUAAGUCCCGCAACGAGCGCAACCCUUGUUCACUGUUGCCAGCACGUUAUGGUGGGGACUCAGUGGAGACCGCCGGGGUCAACUCGGAGGAAGGUGGGGAUGACGUCAAGUCAUCAUGCCCCUUAUGUCCAGGGCUUCACGCAUGCUACAAUGGCUGGUACAGAGAGUGGCGAGUCUGUGAGGGUGAGCGAAUCUCGGAAAGCCGGUCUCAGUUCGGAUUGGGGUCUGCAACUCGACCUCAUGAAGUCGGAGUCGCUAGUAAUCGCAGAUCAGCAACGCUGCGGUGAAUACGUUCCCGGGGCUUGUACACACCGCCCGUCAAGUCAUGAAAGUUGGUAACACCCGAAGCCGGUGGCCUAACC
rnacentral:rRNA from 1 species